GACGAACGCUGGCGGCGUGCUUAACACAUGCAAGUCGAACGGUAAGGCCCUUCGGGGUACACGAGUGGCGAACGGGUGAGUAACGCGUGAGUAACCGGCCCUUCACUCUGGGAUAACAGUUGGAAACGGCUGCUAAUACCGGAUAUUCAGCUCCUGUCGCAUGGUGGGGGUUGGAAGGGUUUGGUGGUGGAGGAUGGGCUCGCGUCCUAUCAGCUUGUUGGUGGGGUGAGGGCCUACCAAGGCGUCGACGGGUAGCCGGCCUGAGAGGGCGACCGGCCACAUUGCGACUGAGAUACGGCCCAAACUCCUACGGGAGGCAGAGGUGGGGAAUAUUGCACAAUGGGCGGAACCCUAAUGCAGCAACGCCGCGUGCGGGAUGACGGCCUUCGGGUUGUAAACCGCUUUCAGCAGGGACGAAGCGCAAGUGACGGUACCUGCAGAAGAAGCACCGGCUAACUACGUG
rnacentral:rRNA from 1 species